rnacentral:rRNA from 1 species
UACGGGGGGGGCAAGCGUUGUUCGGAAUUACUGGGCGUAAAGGGCGCGUAGGCGGCCCGCUAAGUCGAACGUGAAAUCCCCAGGCUCAACCUGGGAACUGCGUCCGAUACUGGCAGGCUUGAAUCCGGGAGAGGGAUGUGGAAUUCCAGGUGUAGCGGUGAAAUGCGUAGAUAUCGGAAGGAACGCCGGUGGCGAAAGCGACGUGCUGGACCCCCCCUGACGCUGAGGCGCGAAAGCCAGGGGAGCGAACGGG